rnacentral:sRNA from 1 species
GCUGGGCACAGUGGUGCGCGCCUGUAGUCCCAGCGACUCGGGAGGCUGAGUCAGGAGGAUCAUAAGUUCAAAGCCAGCCUCAGUAACUUAUUGAGGCCCUGAGCAACUCAGAGAGACUCUGUCUCUA